CUUCAGUGUUUCCAUGGAAACGAAGAAGACUCUGAUGGGGCCAGAGGCCAGUGGGAAGAGGAAAAGAGACUUGAGUGGCCGGUGGCCACACUCUUAGCUAUCACAUUCAUAUGUUAUAAUCGGGCACCAUUGGUCACACCCACUCUGCCGAUGGACAGCUGAGGUAACGGAAGUGCUAACUAAGGGAAUCGGGGCCAGUGGAGCAGCCUUGAGCACACGGUAGAGGCAGCAUCAGUGAGCUGAGAACCACCAUUGUCCUCCAUUUCUCCAGGACAGCGCCCCACACCUCUGCCUGCCAAGCCUAGUGCCUGAACCUUGCCCCCCUCCACACCCCCCCCCCCAGGCAUUGCUUGUUUUCCCUGCCUCAGUCACAGACAUUCCCAGCCACCCCAGCCUUUUCUGGUGGUUCAGGGUUUGGUAUCCCACCGCUUUCUUUGUCUUCUCCUUCUUGGGUACAUUUGGACCAGGUAGGUGGGUUGUGCUGCCCAUUGCCUGGGGUUCCUCACCUAGGCCUGCAGCCUCUGAGAAGUUGGGACGGGGUUGGAGGGUCUGGGGACCCUGCCCUUUCCCCGCCACACUGAACCAGGAUUGAGGGUGGAGCCUGUGCUUCUGAGCUCCCAGGUGUGGGGAUCCUGGGAGCGAGCGUUGGGGGCAGGCCAGCAUGGCCAGCGGUGUCCCUCAGUCUGUAGAGGGCAUGCUUAAGGUCUCUACAGACUCAGACCUAACCUGGAGGUGUAUGCAGUGCUGGGGUUCUCUUGUAUUGGAUGGUCCUUGAAUCCUUUCUGGGUUCUACACUGCAGGGCAGGGCCGGGCCUGAGGCCCUGGAGACUCUCUGUGUGAGGAUAUGGGCGUCACACUUCUUUUCCCAUGGGAGUCUCUCUGUGUCUCUUGCCAGUUGUUACAUUAAAAGAUCUGAUUGCUUUUCUAUCCUUCCUCCCCAUUUUCAUCCUCCAUUUAUCUAUCUAUCUAUCUAUCUAUCUAUCUAUCUAUCUAUCUAUCUAUCUAUCUAUCUAUUUAUUUUUGGUUUUUCGAGACAGGGUUUCUCUUUAUAUAGCCCUGGCUGUCCUGGAACUCACUUUGUAGACCAGGCUGGCCUUGAACUCAGAAAUCCACCUGCCUCUGCCUUUCCGAGUGCUGGGAUUAAAGGUGUGCGCCACCACCGCCCAGCUUCCUCCUCCUAUUUGAGAUAGUCUCUCACUGUCGAACUCUCCAUGUAGACUAGGCCUGCCUCUGCCUCCAGAGAGCUGGGAUCGAAGGUGUGUGCCACCACAUCUGGCCCGUUCUCUCUCUUGCUGUCUCUAGUUUCAAGGCCCCCCCCCUCCCUGUAUCAGACUCCUCCAGACCUCAGGCCCUUUGAUGGUGCCGGGCAAAAGCUACUCAGAUUCAUGUGUGAGCAUGUGUGAGACUGUCUAUGCAGAGCCUGAGUGGAGUCUGUGAGGGUGUCCCCAGGGUCCCCACUACGAUGGUACUCAGCCCUGUUAACCCUUCCACUCCCAGCACCCAGCAUGAAGGACUGGAACUAUGUCUUAUACUCACAGGUCCCUUAUACUCACACAGUCUGGGCACAUCUCAGCCUGCUCCACAGAACUCUGGUGACCAAAGGAACAGCUCCUUUAACGCUGUCCACACCCCUGUCUCAGGGACUGAACUGGCACCGUGAGUGGCCAAGGGACUCUCAUUUGCGAUCUAGAGGUGGGAAGGUGAUCCUGGAUGCUCUGGGUGACCUAUGUCAUCACAGGGUCCUUGUAAGCAGGAGGCCAGAGAUCAGAGAAGAGGCCACGCUGGCAGCCUUGGAGGUGGGAGAAGGCGCCCUGAACCAAGGGAUGAGAGCUGCUUCUAGAAGCAGACUCUCUUCUAGCACAGCACAGUGGUUCUCAGCCUUCCUAACACUGUGACCCUUCAAUCCAGUUCCUCACGGUGUGGUGACCCCCCAGCCAUAAAGUUAUUUCACUACUACUUCAUAACUGUAAUUUUGCUACUGUUAUGAAUUGUAACAUAACAGUAAACUCUGUAAACAUCUAUAUUUUCAGAUUGUCUUAGGUGACCCCUGUGAAAGGGUUAUCCGACCCCCAAAAGGGGUCAUGAUGAGUGUAGCCUGCCACCUUGCCACCUUCAGACUCUUUUGACCUCCACAACCCUAAGAUAACAAGUUCGUAUUCUUUUGUAAUGUCUUGGGUUUAUGAUAGUCGGUCUUGACAAUGGCAUGAGACUGAGACAUAGCUCUGGAAGGGAAGUCACAGUGGGUCUCCUUUUGCAGACAGAGACGUGGAGCACCCGACUGGAGGAGGCAGGCUGGCUGGCAGUCCACAGACUCUGGACUUCAGUGUUCUGUGUGUGUCCGGGUUAUCCUCACAGCUCUGGCUCAGAGCUCUGUGAUUGGCUGGGCUCUCCUGUCCUUCUUUACCGCCUUCCCCCCAACUUCCCAUCAUUCUUUACUGAGUGCCCGGGCUGGCAUGCUGAAAUACUGGGCGAGCCAGUGGUAUGUGUAACAGCUCUAUAGCUGUAUGCAAUGCCCCAUGUGUUUAUGACUACAGGUCAGGCCCAGUGCUAAGAAUGUCACCUUGCUUAUCCCAUCAGUCCAUAUGACACAAAUGUUCGUGGGCAGGGCUCUGCCACAACCACUUAUUACACAUGUGGUGCAGGAGGGGCAGACCACCAGCUUGCUGUCACAGAGGGAGGUAGGCAGAGCUAGGCUCAAACCCAGGCAGGUGUUCUGCAUUGAGCUUGGUGGUGCAUAUUUGCAAUUCCUGGGCUCUGGAGGAGGGGACGGGGACUACACAGUUGCUCUGCCCAGAGUGUGCUGAAUGACACGGUGACUUCCAGGCCAGCCUGGGCAUCUCCACCUGUUUCAAAUGUAAUUUUUUUUGAUUUAUUUACUUUGUUUGUGUAGAAGAUGGUGGCAUUGUAGUGCAUGUAUGGAGUUCAUCAGAGGAUAACAUGGUGUGGUUGGUUCUUGCUUUCUACCACGUGGGUCCCAGGAAUUAAAUACUCAGAUCUUUAGGCUUGGCAACAAGAACCCUUACUGAGUUCAUAGUGACCCCUGGGAAUUGGUUUCCUUCCUUCCUCCCUCCCUCCCUCCCUCCCUCCCUCCCUCCCUCCCUCCCUCCCUCCCUCCCUCCCUCCCUUCCUUCCUUCCUUCCUUCCUUCCUUCCCUCCCUCUCCCCUCCCUUCCUGCCUCCCUCCCUCCUUCCACCUUUCUUCUCCCACUCCCUCCCUUUCUCUCUCUUUCUGGAGACAAGUUCUAGUCACCCAGUCCAGGCUCAAACUUGCUCUGUAGCCAAGGAUAACCUUGGACUUCUGAUCGCCCCCCCUCCCCCCAACCUCCCCAGUGCUGGGAUUACAAAUGUGAGCCACCACACCCGGUUUAUAUGUGCUGCCCAGGGCUUUGUCUUGCUAGGCAAUGCUCUACCUGCUGAGCCACCCCCACCCCCACCCGGCACCCCGGAAUCAGUCUCCUCCUUCUCGGUUACCCCGUCACCCCCUCCCUUCAGUAAGUCAUACAUGUUUAUUGAGAGAAACAUCUAAGAGAGAAGAUGACAGGCUGUGGCUUAGCCUUUCAUGUGUGCUGUGUGCGGCCCCGCUGGGUGCACACUGCAGUGCGUGGCUUGGUUGUGGCAGAACGGUGGUUUUAUUGCACCUGCUGUCUCAUGGCUCGCUAAUUUUUUUUUUAACCUAAUUACACACAGUGCACAUUUUCCCGUGGGAACAUGUGUUCUUCAACAAUUCCCCAUGUGGUUCUCCUUUCACUAUCGGUAAGGGUUCGAUGCCUGUCUGGGUCUGACUGGUGAUGCCAGACCCUCCGGAUGCAAAGGAGCCCCUGAAGAAAGCCAGGAGCUGGGUUUGGGGUGGCACCUGUGUUUGCGGGGUCAGGCUAUGGGAGACGGAUUUCUGGUGUCCCUAACACUCGGUCCCUGUUGAGGACCCUUAUGGAGGUCAGUAGGAAGCACCCCCCGCUCCCCUGAUGUUCUGUGUGUGGUCCCUCAGCACAUCAUUUAUUGUGCAUGUGGACUUUUGUCCAGUUUGUGCCUUGGAGGCCAUCUCUAUGUGAGGAACCUUGAUUGGAGCAUGUUAGAGGGAAUGCUGUACCUGAAGAGGCAGAGGAAGGCCUGAGGUGGUGUGCCAUGGGCCAGAGCCUCGCAGGCAUUGCCGCCUACCUCUCUCUUUAUCAGAGGGAGGACUCAUGGCCCAUUCUACAGAUGUGGAAACUGAGGCAUGAAGCCACACUGUGUGCUUCGUGGCACAUUCUUCCUUAAUCCUUCUGGAAGGCAGUGAGGAUUCUCUUGGUUCUAGGUUUAGCAACUAUCCCUGUGAUCUGGGCCAAAUGGCAGAGGCAGGAUUUGUCUUCAGGCUGUUGGAACUGAUGUGCGCUGCCAGCAUGCCUCUGACCUGUGCACACUGGGUUUCAACUCUGCUGCUCAUUGGAACUAGUAGAAGCCCCUCUCUAGGCCAGUGAUCAGUGUCCAGGGCAGGGGCUCCUGAGUGACUCCAGUUACCCAAAGACUGCCUUGGGCCUGACACAGAGUCUCAUUGUACAGUUCAGUCUGGCCUUGAACUCACAAUUCUCUUGCUUCAGCCUCCCAGGUAUGGGAACUGCAAGCUUGAGUCUGUAUGCUCAGUUUUACUUGGGAUGCCAGGGCUGGGCUGGGCUGGGGUUGGGGUGGGCUCAGAUAAGACUGGACUGGGCUGAGUUGGUUUGGGCUGGGCUGGGCUGGGCUGGUGUUGGGGUGGGCUCAGAUGAGACUGGGCUGGACUGGGCUGGUGUUGGGUGGGCUCAGAUGAGUCUGGGUUGGGCUGGACUGGGCUGGUGUUGGUCUGGUCUGGUCUGGUCUGGUCUGGUCUGGUCUGGUCUGGUCUGGAGGGCUCACGAAUGCUGCAUAACUCUGCCAACUGAGCUUCUUCCCUGGCAUAAAGGCCAGCUGGUCUUUGUUGGGUGGCCAAGAAAGCUACCUGUAACCCCAACACUCAAGGGACAGAGGUGGAAGGAUCUUUCAAUUGCAUUUAUCUAUUGUAUAUGCACAUGCAUGCCAUGCUAUGUGGAGGCCAACUUGUUGGCGUUGGUUCUCGCUUCCCACCAUUUGAGUUCAGGAAUGGAACUCAGAUCGUCAGUCUCCGUGGCAAGCACCUUUACCCGUUAAGCCAUCUCACCUGUCCUAAGGCAGAACGAUUUUGAGGUAGAAGCCAGCCAAGGCUACAUAGUAAGUUCUAGGACAGCCUGGACUACACAGUGAGAUACUAUCUUUAAAAAAGAAAAAGAAAAAAAUGAGCUAUGCAGUGGUGGCGCAUGCCUUUAAUCCUAGCACUUGUGAGGCAGAGGCAGGCGGGUCUCUGUGUGUUUGAGGCCAGCCUGGUCUCCAAAGCAGGUUCCAGGACAGCCAGGGCUACACGGAGAAAAGACUCUGUCUCAAAAACAAACAAACAAACAAACAAACAAACAAACAAACAAACAAACAAACAAACAAACAGAACAAAAAGAUGAAAACCAAAAUAACAAAAAAGAUCUUUUCAACAUAUGUUACUCUGGCUUUGAGGCCAGCCUGGUCUGUGAGAGAGGAAAACCUAGGGCCUUGGGCCUUGUGGGCCUCGGGGCAUGCUGGGAGACCUGAGGCAUCCUGGGAAGCCAGUGUGAACUCCUCUUUCCGAUUGCUAUCUCCCUCCCCUGCCUCUUCCUCGCCUUCACCCUCAGCAUAAAUGGCUUCGCCUGGCAAGUGCGGGCCAGGAGAUGUGACUGUAGUCAGGCCCUAUCCUGAGGCACGAGGCCUCAGGAGUGGGGAAGUGCACUUGAGCUGAGGUAAUGAGCCUCUCGUGGGUGUUUAUGGUGGUUAUUAUCUGGAGUCUUGGAGGAAGCUCAAGAGUGCUUGCUCACAGGGAGAAUGGUCUGUUCCAAUUGGGCAAUGUCAGGACCUGAGUAGCUUUCUGGGGGGGCCAGCUGUUGGGAGGGGCUGUCCCUGUGGGCACAGGCUAAGCAGGAGGGAGGAGGUGCCUUGGGCUCAUUUCCUGCCAUGUUUUCCUUGCAUACUCACCCUGAGCCUGAUCCUCUGCUAGGUGGGUUACCUCAUUUGGAGAAUCCUUUCCUGCUUGCCUGCCUGCCCGGGACUUCUGGCUUUAGUCUCUGGACUGAAGAGCUGACCUCUGGAGCAAGGCUUUGCAGGAAUGGCUGGGGAUGUGGCUCAGCUGUGGAAUGUUUGCCUGGCACGUACCAGGCCCUGGGUUCCAUGCCCAGCACUGAGGAAACCAAACAUGGUGCACACCUAUAAUUUCGGCACCGAGAAAGCAGAGGCAGGAGGAUCAGGAAUUUAAAGUCAUCUUUGCUACAUAAUGAGUUUGAGGCUAACCUGGGCUAGACCCUCUCUUACCACCCCCAGACUCUCCCCGCCCCCCCCAAAAAGCAAAAUAAACAAGUAGUCAAAAGCAUU